rnacentral:misc_RNA from 1 species
UCCGAGUUGUCCCCGGCAGUCUUAUCAGAGUCCUCGGCUUUACCCGUUAGUAACUGAUCACAAGGGUUGCGCUCGUUGCGGGACUUAACCCAACAUCUCACGACACGAGCUGACGACAACCAUGCACCACCUGUCUCAGUAUGAGCAAGCUCACACCUGAUCUCUCAGGUUUUUACUGGAUGUCAAGACCUGGUAAGGUUCUUCGCGUUGCUUCGAAUUAAACCACAUGCUCCGCUGCUUGUGCGGGCCCCCGUCAAUUCCUUUGAGUUUCAACCUUGCGGCCGUACUCCCCAGGCGGAAUGCUUAUUGUGUUAACUCCGGCACAGAAGGGGUCGAUACCCCCUACACCUAGCAUUCAUCGUUUACAGUGUGGACUAC